AACGAACGCUGGCGGCAGGCCUAACACAUGCAAGUCGAGCGGACCCUUCGGGGUUAGCGGCGGACGGGUGAGUAACGCGUGGGAAUAUGCCCUUCUCUACGGAAUAGUCCUGGGAAACUGGGGGUAAUACCGUAUACGCCCUUUGGGGGAAAGAUUUAUCGGGGAAGGAUUAGCCCGCGUUGGAUUAGGUAGUUGGUGGGGUAAUGGCCUACCAAGCCGACGAUCCAUAGCUGGUUUGAGAGGAUGAUCAGCCACACUGGGACUGAGACACGGCCCAGACUCCUACGGGAGGCAGCAGUGGGGAAUCUUAGACAAUGGGGGCAACCCUGAUCUAGCCAUGCCGCGUGAGUGAUGAAGGCCUUAGGGUUGUAAAGCUCUUUCAGCUAGGAAGAUAAUGACGGUACCAGCAGAAGAAGCCCCGGCUAACUCCGUG
rnacentral:rRNA from 1 species